rnacentral:rRNA from 1 species
GAUGAACGCUGGCGGCGUGCCUAAUACAUGCAAGUCGAGCGAACGGACGAGAAGCUUGCUUUUCUGAUGUUAGCGGCGGACGGGUGAGUAAAACGUGGAUAACCUACCUAUAAGACUGGGAUAACUUCGGGAAACCGGAGCUAAUACCGGAUAAUAUUUUGAACCGCAUGGUUCAAAAGUGAAAGAUGGUCUUGCUGUCACUUAUAGAUGGAUCCGCGCUGCAUUAGCUAGUUGGUAAGGUAACGGCUUACCAAGGCAACGAUGCAUAGCCGACCUGAGAGGGUGAUCGGCCACACUGGAACUGAGACACGGUCCAGACUCCUACGGGAGGCAGCAGUAGGGAAUCUUCCGCAAUGGGCGAAAGCCUGACGGAGCAACGCCGCGUGAGUGAUGAAGGUCUUCGGAUCGUAAAACUCUGUUAUUAGGGAAGAACAUAUGUGUAAGUAACUGUGCACAUCUUGACGGUACCUAAUCAGAAAGCCACGGCUAACUACGUG